rnacentral:pre_miRNA from 12 species
ACCGCCGCACGCCCAUUGUACUUCAUCAGGUGCUCUGGUGUUAAUGUAUCCAGGCGCUUGUUGGAGUACACUAACCGUGUCGGCGGU